rnacentral:rRNA from 1 species
AUACGAAGGGGGCUAGCGUUGUUCGGAAUCACUGGGCGUGAAGCGCGCGUAGGUGGAUCAAUUAGUUGAGGGUGAAAUCCCGGGGCUCAACCUCGGAACUGCCUUCAAUACUGUUGAUCUUGAGACCGAGAGAGGUGAGUGGAAUUCCUAGUGUAGAGGUGAAAUUCGUAGAUAUUAGGAAGAACACCAGUGGCGAAGGCGGCUCACUGGCUCGGUACUGACGCUGAGGUGCGAAAGCGUGGGGAGCAAACAGGAUUAGAAACCCUAGUAGUCC